AAGUCCUCAUGGCCUUUAUGUCUAGGGCUACACACGUGCUACAAUGGGUGGUACAAAGGAGCAGCUAACUCGCGAGAGUAUGCAAAUCUCAAAAAGCCAUCCUCAGUUCGGAUUGGAGUCUGCAACUCGACUCCAUGAAGUUGGAAUCGCUAGUAAUCGCGGAUCAGCAUGCCGCGGUGAAUACGUUCCCGGGCCUU
rnacentral:rRNA from 1 species